UGCUGGCCACCGUAGUGAUUAGGAAUUGCACUAUUCUAGUUUUGUUAUAUGCCGGCCACCGUAGUUAGGAAGUUCGAGGUUGUUCCUGACUGUAAUGACACACGUUCGGAAAAUAGAUGCAUUCUGGGAAGUGAUGUGUUUCAAUGUAGGCUACUCGUGUUUCCUUCACUCAGACAUGUGUGCUGAUUCUUUUCCAAUUUUGAGCAAGGAUAUAAAAUAUGAAGACUGUACUUUUUCAUUAAGAUUGAUAUUUUUGCACAAUGUGUUGUGCUACGCGUAACGCCUCAUUGUAUGCGACGGUCUAAGGAGCAGUCCUAUGCGUCCACCCACCAUGCGUCCACCUGUCCACCACUAAACAAGUUGCAAGGUCAGAUGUGUUGUCCUCCUACCCCCAACUUCCGGUCCUAGUUCCAGUAGGCCCUUGUUGGUCUACCUGUGAGAGUACCUGAGCUACAUCUCUGAAGGUGAGCACUCGUACAGAGACACUAUUGAGUGCUAGUACGCAGAGGCACGGAUGCACAGAAGGUUAACCCAAGCAUAGAUGAGUACAGAAUCCACCCGACCAUGUUUUUGUAGGCUUUCACCACAUCAGGCCUUAUGUAGGCCUACCAACAUUGUCUUAAUUUAAGUGUGUGUGUGUGUGUAUAUAUUUAUAUAUAUGUGGGUGUGUGUGUGUGUGUGUGUGUGUUUUAUCCUUCUCUCAGUCUCACGGUAAAAUGCUGGAAUACCUCCCUGAAGGUGAACACUCGUACAGAGACGCUACGGAGUACUACGCAGAGGCAUGGAGGUACAGUUACAAGGUCAACCCCAGCAUAGAUGAGUACGGACUACACCCAAGCAGAGUCCCGCCGUAAAAUGCUGGAGUACCUGAGCUACUUCCCUGAAGGUGAACACUCGUACAGAGACGCUACGGAGUACUACGUAGAGGCAUGGAGGUACAGUUACAAGGUCAGAGAGACGCUGAUGUGUUCUACGCAGAGGCUUGGAGUCCUGCUGUAACACACUGGAGUACCUGAGCUACUUAAAGUGAACACUCGUACAGAGACGCUAAUGUGUUCUUCGCAGAGGCUUGGAGGUUGUCAGCUGUUGGCUCAACUGCAAAGCAUGGUGUGACAAGAUGUGUCUUGUGUUCCUGUGACCAGAAGGCUCAACAAUGCAUCAUUCUUACUGACCAGAUGGAUUGUUUCAUGGCCAGAGGAGGACCACUACACUGGCAAUGACUGGGGUUUGGCUUAGGGCCCACCAACCAUAGCGAUCUCCGCCCAAACCAACCAGCUGUCAACCGCUGCGCUGCCACUGGCUUGUGGAUCUAAAGUUUUGUCAUGAUAGCUUGUUUUUGUUUUGUACACAACCCUAUAGAUGAUCGCUUAUUCCAAGGAAGACACACACAAAUAAAUACAAACUACUUUAAGGGACACAAAGGUAUGGAAGGACUCCAGCCACUGAUAUUGGACAUAUGGUGUAAUUUUCUUCUGUAUCUAUCUAAUGCAAAGCUAUACUUGCAACAAUUUCUUAUGUCAUGUGAAAUGAUAAGAUGAAAACUUCACUCAUAUGCAUUAGCUCUUGCAUAACAUCUUUGCAUUAAUGGACCAUGUUUACGACAGACUAAUUUCGAACCUAGCCAACCUGCGGCCAAUACACUGAUGAUUGCCUGGGGCCAUAUCAGGAGCGUGCCUGUUCCUGCGUACCUUUUUGAUACUUUUGCUCAUAUACCAUGCAUUAGUUUGUGUAGUGCUGAAUGUAUUAGGGAAGCUGAACACCUUUUCUGUGAUAUAUCUGUAUGGAAGAGACCCCUUAUCACAAACCAAUAAAAUGUCUGCAUUUGAUUGACAUAGAUAAAUAGAUAUAUGUUGUGCUGAAAUAAAGCCAUUUCA